CUCAGAACGAACGUUGGCGGCGUGGAUUAGGCAUGCAAGUCGAACGAAUCCCAGGGGGGUAACUCUCUGGGGGAAGUGGCGAAAGGGGCAGUAAAGCGUGGGUAACGUACCCCGGGGACCGGGAUAGCCUCUCUAACGAGUGGGUAAUACCGGGCGAUCCGGCGAGGGGGCAUCUCCUUGUCGGGAAAUGAAUUUCGCCUCGGGAGCGGCUCACGUGCUAUUACCUAGUUGGCGGGGUGACGGCCCACCAAGGGAAAGAUGGCUAGCAGGUGUGAGAGCACGACCUGCGCCACUGGCACUGAGACACUGGCCAGACUCCUACGGGAGGCUGCAGUCGAGGAUCUUCGGCAAUGGGCGCAAGCCUGACCGAGCGACGCCGCGUGUGCGAUGAAGGCCUUCGGGUUGUAAAGCACUGUCGAGGGGGAGGAAGCCGCAAGGUUGACCUAUCCCUGGAGGAAGCACGGGCUAAGUUCGUGCCAGCAGCCGCGGUAAGACGAACCGUGCGAACGUUGUUCGGAAUCACUGGGCUUAAAGGGCGCGUAGGCGGGUUCCCAAGUCCGGGGUGAAAUCUUUCGGCUCAACCGGAAAAUAGCCCUGGAUACUGGGGGUCUCGAGCGAGGUAGGGGCAGCUGGAACUUCCGGUGGAGCGGUGAAAUGCGUUGAUAUCGGAAGGAACGCCGGUGGCGAAAGCGAGCUGCUGGACCUCUUCUGACGCUGAGGCGCGAAAGCCAGGGGAGCAAACGGGAUUAGAUACCCCGGUAGUCCUGGCCCUAAACGAUGGGUACUAGGUAGUGGACUGGGCAUGGGUUCCCUGCCGAAGCUAAAGUGUUAAGUACCCCGCCUGGGGAGUAUGGUCGCAAGGCUGAA
rnacentral:rRNA from 1 species